rnacentral:rRNA from 1 species
GAUGAACGCUGGCGGCGUGCCUAAUACAUGCAAGUCGAGCGAACGGACGAGAAGCUUGCUUCUCUGAUGUUAGCGGCGGACGGGUGAGUAACACGUGGAUAACCUACCUAUAAGACUGGGAUAACUUCGGGAAACCGGAGCUAAUACCGGAUAAUAUUUUGAACCGCAUGGUUCAAAAGUGAAAGACGGUCUUGCUGUCACUUAUAGAUGGAUCCGCGCUGCAUUAGCUAGUUGGUAAGGUAACGGCUUACCAAGGCAACGAUGCAUAGCCGACCUGAGAGGGUGAUCGGCCACACUGGAACUGAGACACGGUCCAGACUCCUACGGGAGGCAGCAGUAGGGAAUCUUCCGCAAUGGGCGAAAGCCUGACGGAGCAACGCCGCGUGAGUGAUGAAGGUCUUCGGAUCGUAAAACUCUGUUAUUAGGGAAGAACAUAUGUGUAAGUAACUGUGCACAUCUUGACGGUACCUAAUCAGAAAGCCACGGCUAACUACGUGCCAGCAGCCGCGGUAAUACGUAGGUGGGCAGCGUUAUCCGGGAAUAUUGGGCGUAAAGCGCGCGUAGGCGGUUUUUUAAGUCUGAUGUGAAAGCCCACGGCUCAACCGUGGAGGGUCAUUGGAAACUGGAAAACUUGAGUGCAGAAGAGGAAAGUGGAAUUCCAUGUGUAGCGGUGAAAUGCUCAGAGAUAUGGAGGAACACCAGUGGCGAAGGCGACUUUCUGGUCUGUAACUGACGCUGAUGUGCGAAAGCGUGGGGAUCAAACAGGAUUAGAUACCCUGGUAGUCCACGCCGUAAACGAUGAGUGCUAAGUGUUAGGGGGUUUCCGCCCCUUAGUGCUGCAGCUAACGCAUUAAGCACUCCGCCUGGGGAGUACGACCGCAAGGUUGAAACUCAAAGGAAUUGACGGGGACCCGCACAAGCGGUGGAGCAUGUGGUUUAAUUCGAAGCAACGCGAAGAACCUUACCAAAUCUUGACAUCCUUUGACAACUCUAGAGAUAGAGCCUUCCCCUUCGGGGGACAAAGUGACAGGUGGUGCAUGGUUGUCGUCAGCUCGUGUCGUGAGAUGUUGGGUUAAGUCCCGCAACGAGCGCAACCCUUAAGCUUAGUUGCCAUCAUUAAGUUGGGCACUCUAAGUUGACUGCCGGUGACAAACCGGAGGAAGGUGGGGAUGACGUCAAAUCAUCAUGCCCCUUAUGAUUUGGGCUACACACGUGCUACAAUGGACAAUACAAAGGGCAGCGAAACCGCGAGGUCAAGCAAAUCCCAUAAAGUUGUUCUCAGUUCGGAUUGUAGUCUGCAACUCGACUACAUGAAGCUGGAAUCGCUAGUAAUCGUAGAUCAGCAUGCUACGGUGAAUACGUUCCCGGGUCU